GACAGAGGGUGCAAACGUUGUUCGGAAUUACUGGGCGUAAAGCGUGUGUAGGCGGUCUCAUGAGUCGGGUGUGAAAGCCCCGGGCUCAACCCGGGAAGUGCACUCGAAACUGCGAGGCUAGAGUACUGGAGAGGUUGGUGGAAUUCUCGGUGUAGAGGUGAAAUUCGUAGAUAUCGAGAGGAACACCGGUGGCGAAGGCGGCCAACUGGACAGAUACUGACGCUGAGACACGAAAGCGUGGGGAGCAAACAGG
rnacentral:rRNA from 1 species